CCUACGGGAGGCAGCAGUGGGGAAUAUUGCACAAUGGGGGAAACCCUGAUGCAGCGACGCCGCGUGAGUGAAGAAGUAUUUCGGUAUGUAAAGCUCUAUCAGCGGGGAAGAAGAAAGCCGGUACCUGACUAAGAAGCCCCGGCUAACUACGUGCCAGCACCCGCGGUAAUACGUAGGGGGCAAGCGUUAUCCGGAUUAAUUGGGUUUAAGGGGUGCGCAGGCGGAUUUUUAAGUCAGCGGUCAAAUCGUGGGGCUAAACCCCAUCCAGCCGUUGAAACUGGGGAUCUAGAGUGUACGAGAGGUAUGCGGAAUGCGUGGUGUAGCGGUGAAAUGCAUAGAUAUCACGCAGAACCCCGGUUGCGAAGGCAGCAUACCGGUGCUCAACUGACGCUCAGGCACGAAAGCGUGGGUAUCGAACAGGAUUAGAUACCCUUGUAGUC
rnacentral:rRNA from 1 species